rnacentral:rRNA from 1 species
UACGUAGGGGGCAAGCGUUGUCCGGAAUCAUUGGGCGUAAAGCGCGUGUAGGCGGCCCGGUAAGUCCGCUGUAAAAGUCCAGGGCUCAACCCUGGAAAGCCGGUGGAUACUGUCGGGCUCGAGUCCGGAAGAGGCGAGUGGAAUUCCUGGUGGUAGCGGGUGAAAUGCGCAGAUAUCAGGAGGAACACCGAUGGCGAAGGCAGCUCGCUGGGACGGUACUGACGCUGAGACGCGAAAGCGUGGGGAGCGAACAGG